rnacentral:rRNA from 1 species
CAUUACACAAUAAACAUAUGAAGGCUGCACCGCCAACAGGCGGCAAGGCUGGAGUAUUUUAUUACCCUUGUCUUUUGCGCACUUGUUGUUUCCUGGGCGGGUUCGCCCGCCUCCAGGACCACAUGAUAAACCUUUUUUAUGCAGUUGCAAUCAGCGUCAGUACAACAAAUGUAAAUCAUUUACAACUUUCAACAACGGAUCUCUUGGUUCUGGCAUCGAUGAAGAACGCAGCGAAAUGCGAUACGUAGUGUGAAUUGCAGAAUUCAGUGAAUCAUCGAAUCUUUGAACGCACAUUGCGCCCUUUGGUAUUCCAAAGGGCAUGCCUGUUCGAGCGUCAUUUGUACCCUCAAGCUUUGCUUGGUGUUGGGCGUUUUUUGUCUUUGGUUUUGUCCAAAGACUCGCCUUAAAACGAUUGGCAGCCGGCCUACUGGUUUCGCAGCGCAGCACAUUUUUGCGCUUGCAAUCAGCAAAAGAGGACGGCACUCCAUCAAGACUCUAUAUCACUUUUGACCUCGGAUCAGGUAGGGAUACCCGCUGAACUUAAGCAUAUCAA